UACGGGGGGAGCAAGCGUUGUUCGGAUUUACUGGGCGUAAAGGGCGCGUAGGCGGCCACCGCAAGUCGACUGUGAAAUCUCCGGGCUUAACCCGGAAAGGUCAGCCGAUACUGCGGGGCUAGAGUGCAGAAGGGGCAACUGGAAUUCUCGGUGUAGCGGUGAAAUGCGUAGAUAUCGAGAGGAACACCUGCGGCGAAGGCGGGUUGCUGGGCUGACACGUGACGCUGAAGCGCGAAAGCUAGGGGAGCGAACGGG
rnacentral:rRNA from 1 species